GAUGAACGCUGGCGGCGUGCCUAAUACAUGCAAGUCGAGCGAACAGACGAGGAGCUUGCUCCUCUGACGUUAGCGGCGGACGGGUGAGUAACACGUGGAUAACCUACCUAUAAGACUGGGAUAACUUCGGGAAACCGGAGCUAAUACCGGAUAAUAUAUUGAACCGCAUGGUUCAAUAGUGAAAGACGGUUUUGCUGUCACUUAUAGAUGGAUCCGCGCCGCAUUAGCUAGUUGGUAAGGUAACGGCUUACCAAGGCAACGAUGCGUAGCCGACCUGAGAGGGUGAUCGGCCACACUGGAACUGAGACACGGUCCAGACUCCUACGGGAGGCAGCAGUAGGGAAUCUUCCGCAGUGGGCGAAAGCCUGACGGAGCAACGCCGCGUGAGUGAUGAAGGUCUUCGGAUCGUAAAACUCUGUUAUUAGGGAAGAACAAAUGUGUAAGUAACUAUACACGUCUUGACGGUACCUAAUCAGAAAGCCACGGCUAACUACGUG
rnacentral:rRNA from 1 species